AUACAGAGGGUGCGAGCGUUAAUCGGAAUUACUGGGCGUAAAGCGCGCGUAGGCGGCUUGGUCAGUCGGAUGUGAAAGCCCCGGGCUCAACCUGGGAAUGGCAUUCGAUACUGCCAGGCUAGAGUAUGGGAGGGGGAAGUGGAAUUUCCGGUGUAGCGGUGAAAUGCGUAGAUAUCGGAAAGAACACCAGUGGCGAAGGCGACUUCCUGGCCCAAUACUGACGCUGAGGCGCGAAAGCGUGGGGAGCGAACAGGAUUAGAUACCCUAGUAGUCC
rnacentral:rRNA from 1 species